CCUAGGUCGGAUUAGCUACUUGGUGAGGUAAUGGCUCACCAAGGCGACCAUCCGUAACUGGUCUGAGAGGAUGAUCAGUCACACUGGAACUGAGACACGGUCCAGACUCCUACGGGAGGCAGCAGUGGGGAAUAUUGGACAAUGGGCGAAAGCCUGAUCCAUCCAUGCCGCGUGUGUGAAGAAGGUCUUCGGAUUGUAAAGCACUUUAAGUUGGGAGGAAGGGCAUUAACCUAAUACGUUAGUGUUUUGACGUUACCGACAGAAAAAGCACCGGCUAACUCUGUGCCAGCAGCCGCGGUAAUACAGGAGGGUGCAAGCGUUAAUCGGAAUUACUGGGCGUAAAGCGCGCGUAGGUGGUUCGUUAAGUUGGAUGUGAAAUCCCCGGGCUCAACCUGGGAACUGCAUUCAAAACUGUCGAGCUAGAGUAUGGUAGAGGGUGGUGGAAUUUCCUGUGUAGCGGUGAAAUGCGUAGAUAUAGGAAGGAACACCAGUGGCGAAGGCGACCACCUGGACUGAUACUGACACUGAGGUGCGAAAGCGUGGGGAGCAAAACAGGAUUAGAUACCCUGGUAGUCCCACGCCGUAAAUGAUGUCAACUAGCCGUUGGGAGCCGUGAGCUGUUAGUGGCGCAGCUACCGCAUUAAGUUGACCGCCUGCGGAGUACGGCCGCAAGGUUAAAACUCAAAUGAAUUGACGGGGGCCCGCACAAGCGGUGGAGCAUGUGGUUUAAUUCGAGGCAACGCGAAGAACCUUACCAGGCCUUGACAUCCAAUGAACUUUCCAGAGAUGGAUUGGUGCCUUCGGGAACAUUGAGACAGGUGCUGCAUGGGCUGUGGUCAGCUCGUGUCGUGAGAUGUUGGGUUAAGUCCCGUAACGAGCGCAACCCUUGUCUUUAGUUACCAGCACGUUAUGGUGGGCACUCUAAGGAGACUGCCGGUGACAAACCGGAGGAAGGUGGGGAUGACGUCAAGUCAUCAUGGCCCUUACGGCCUGGGCUACACAAGUGCUACAAUGGUCGGUACAGAGGGUUGCCAAGCCGCGAGGUGGAGCUAAUCCCAC
rnacentral:rRNA from 1 species